rnacentral:lncRNA from 1 species
CUCUAAUUAAACCUUAAUAAUGCUAAUCAAGCUUUAAUCAAAUUCAAAAGAAAUCUUAAAGAAAUUACAAAAGAAAAAUAAAGAAAUCCUAAAAAAAUAUUAGAGAAAUCUUAAAUAAAUCUUAAAUAAAUCUUAACCAAGUCCUAUUUUAAUCCUUAUUAAAAUCUUAAUGGAUCUUAACUAAAUUCUAAAUCAAAUCCUAACUAAAUCUUAAAUCCUAAAUCCUAAAUCAAAUCUUAAACAAAUCCUAAACCAAAUCCUAGAUAAAUUCUAAAUCCUAAAUUAAACCAUAAAUAAAUCUUAAAUAAUAAAUUAAAUCCUAAAAAAAUCCUAAAUCUUGAACCAAAUCCUAAAAAAUUCCUAAAUCUUAAAUCAAAUCCUAGACAAAACCUAAUCAACUCAAAUUAAUCCUAAGGUAGAUUAAAA